GUCUUCUUUGGUAAAAACUGACGUGAACUCACGGUGCUUCAUCCAUGCUCAUCUACAUCAGAAGGAAAUUAAACAAAUCCCUGAAGGGAAGCUAACUGAAUGGGGUCCAUAUCAAAGUGCCAGCUCAGGCAAAGUGAGCCAAGUGGGCUUCUCCUGUCCUUCAUUAUUCUAUAUCAGAAAAGACUCCUUCAGACACUUUAUAAAAUACCAAUGGAGGAAAUUGCAAGGAAACCAAGCCAAGGAAACCAAUUUUAUGCGACUGUAACCAUAUUUAAGGCAAUAUUACAUGCUCUCUUUUAUUAUUAUCGUUGAAGAAUUGUGCCCGGCACAAGAAGAAAUCAUGCUGGUUCAUUGGGGGGUGGAAAGAAGGUUUUAAAUUGAACCAAUAUUUACCUUCCUGCUUUUUCUCAUAAUCCCAAGUCAUGACAAAAUUAAAUGGAAAAACUUGACCAAAGGUAAAAAUGAUGAAAUUCCAUUUUACAUAUAAUUAAUAAAGUGUAGCGACUCACUGUCCGAGCAAGCGAACCGGCUCGGCAGUCAGGUCGCGGGUCGUCGAAGUGGCGAGGCCCAAGAUGGCAUUGGGUCUUCGUCUUCCCCGAGUGACAGGGAGAACCCGCACGCGGGAAAGGUUUGAUGAUGUAGCGUAUACGUCAUUUCUGUUUUCGGUGGGCAGGAACAGUCUUUCUUAAAAGGCCCGUGCAAGGUGGGAAAAUAAACCAGUUCUUGCUCGGAAACCCAUCGACUAGUGUCUUGUUUUCACAUCGUGGUAGCAGCCGCCACAUUGGUGACCCUGACAGUCCAAACUGAUUUUGGACCUGCACAAUGGAUGACAGCGCAGCAGCCAAUGCAGUGGCAUUCAAGCUGCCCACCUUUUGGACGCUUCAUCCCAGCGUCUGGUUCGACCAGGCCGAAGCACAAUUCUACCUUCGGCAGACCACCUCCAACGCCACAAAGUA